UCAAAUGCGUAGAAAGAUCAGCAGUAAGUAGCUUGUGGAUGCUUUCAGAGAGCCGGUGGAGGGUGCGAACCGGUACCUGCAGGUUAGUGAAUUACGGUCUUGAGCAGUGAAUGGGAACCUGCAGCAAUUUCAGCUGCACAAGUAGUAUUUGCCGAUUAAACCCCGUUAAAGGUUCUUGAGUGAAAAUAGCUAGCCGUGCACAUAACAUCUGUUAUAGAUGUACGUAACUACUGUUUUAAUUAGGGUGGUACCGCGAGUUAAGUCUUCUCGUCCCUUUG
rnacentral:ncRNA from 1 species